AUGGUGCAGCCUGAGUAUGGGAUCACUCGAACAGCACUACGUAAAGUUGUGUUUGCAGCAAGAGAUGAGUCAGCAUGCAAAACCUGGAGGGGGCACUCAGCAUAUGUCACCAGGAUGGAGUGCUUGAAUGAACAAGACGCUUUUGAACUCUUCGCCCAUCAUGCGGGGAAUACCAUCACGAAGGACCAGCGAAUCCUUCAGCUUGCACAUGAGAUCGCUGAAGAGUGCAGUGGCUUACCAAUUGCUUUGUGCAAGAUUGGAGAAGCUAUGUCUCCAAAAACAGAGGUCGAUGAAUGGAGAGGUGCUCUUCGGCUAUUGAAGACGUCAAAUCUUGAUGGAAUCUCAGAUGGAUACGAGGAUGUGUUUCAACAGCUGAAAAUAAGUUUUGAUCAGAUAGGGAAACAGCUACAGAAUCGAUUUCUGAUAUGCUCUUUGUGGCCCGAGAAUGAGAACAUUCCUGUAGAAAAGCUAACUGAGUGGUGGAUGGGGCUUGGGUUGAUUGAAGCUUCUGAUCGUGUUACAACAGGGAAGCGCACAAUCUGUCACCUGCUGAGUUCUUCAUUGUUAGAAAAAGGUGACACCGGAAUGUUUUGUGCCGAGACUUCUCACGUUAAGAUGCAUAAAAUGUUUCAGAAAAUGGCUCAGUGGGUUGUUAAUAAUCAAGGAGAAGAGAAACCGUGGUUGCCACUAUCCCUCUGUGAACGUUCGACAUUACCAGGGCCGAAAUGGUGUUCAAUAGAAAGAGCUUGGGUAUCACGACUAGAAACUGGGAGAUGGGAAAAUAACAGAACUAUUUUGUCUUCAACAUCUUCCCCAGGCCCCCCACCAUUAACUAUGCUGAUAUCAUCCCAUGCCUUCUCAUUGGAUCUAAUCACGUGUUGUCAGAAAAUCACGUUUUUGGAUCUGGAGGGGACAGGUAUAAGUGAAUUCCCGUACGCCAUUUGCUCUUUGCGUGAAGUGCAGUAUCUUAACCUUUCUGGCACAAGAAUAGAAGAAUUGCCUCAGGAAAUGCGCCGACUGUCGAAGCUUAAAUUCUUGCUUGUUAGAGAUGCCGGGGCUCUCCAAAGGGUAGCUAAAGAAUUAAUCCGAAGUCUGAUAGAUCUGGUUAUGGUGGAUCUUUUCUGUUCCAGUGGCUUUUCUACUCAUGUUGAGUAUGCGCCAUCACUUCUGGCUGAACUAGCCACCCCUGGUAUAGAGCUUGCACUUGGCUUCACGGCACAGAGCAUGACACAUUUGAGUGAACUAGGGAAGUUGCAAUGGGUCCGUACAGAGGCACUGUGCUUGCACCAUUUUGAAGAGAAGUCAAAACUUGUUGACCUGCACCUUGUCGUUAAUUUACGGAGUCUGCGAGAACUGACUAUCAGGGACACAUCUGAAAACCUUGAGCUCUUAAUAGCUGAGCAUGGCACAAGUUUGCUCCAUAGCCUGAACUUCCUUGAGCUGAACAAUCUGAGGAAACUAAAGGAAAUAAAGUGGAGAAAUGCAGGUAAUGACAUCACAGUGGUUAACAUUUGUCAUUGUGAUAAAUUGAAACAAAUCACAUGGGUCUGUGAGCUUCAGCAACUGGAGCAGCUGACAGUUACAUAUUGCCAAGAAAUGGAGCAACUUUUUUCCACCUCAAAGUUGCGCCCUCAUCAAGUGGUAACUGGCUUUCCUAAAAUGAGAAGACUCUAUUUGGAGAACUUGCCGAAGCUGUCGAUUUUUUUUGAGAAAGCUAUGGAGCUGGAUGAACUGACAUAUGUUUGUAUCACUGGGUGUGCAAAACUGAAGCCCCUAAAUGUUAGUAAAGCCAGUGACAACAACAAGAUCAGAUUAGAAUGUGAUAAAGAUUGGUGGCAUGGCUUAGGAGGUGGUCAGGCAAUCAUGAGCUGUUUCAAACCAUGUUGUUGCUGGGAGAAGGUCGAGGACGAGGAAAUUUGA
rnacentral:rRNA from 1 species